rnacentral:rRNA from 1 species
CUGAUGCAGCGACGCCGCGUGGAGGAAGAAGGUUUUCGGAUUGUAAACUCCUGUCGUUAGGGACGAAUCAUGACGGUACCUAACAAGAAAGCACCGGCUAACUACGUG